GAUCUACCCUUGGUCAGGUUGAAGUUCAGGUAACACUGAAUGGAGGACCGAACCGACUUACGUUGAAAAGUGAGCGGAUGAACUGAGGGUAGCGGAGAAAUUCCAAUCGAACCUGGAGAUAGCUGGUUCUCUCCGAAAUAGCUUUAGGGCUAGCCUCAAGUGAUGAUUAUUGGAGGUAGAGCACUGUUUGGACGAGGGGCCCCUCUCGGGUUACCGAAUUCAGACAAACUCCGAAUGCCAAUUAAUUUAACUUGGGAGUCAGAACAUGGGUGAUAAGGUCCGUGUUCGAAAGGGAAACAGCCCAGACCACCAGCUAAGGUCCCAAAAUAUAUGUUAAGUGGAAAAGGAUGUGGCGUUGCCCAGACAACUAGGAUGUUGGCUUAGAAGCAGCCAUCAUUUAAAGAGUGCGUAAUAGCUCACUAGUCGAGUGACACUGCGCCGAAAAUGUACCGGGGCUAAACAUAUUACCGAAGCUGUGGAUUGUCCUUUGGACAAUGGUAGGAGAGCGUUCUAAGGGCGUUGAAGCAUGAUCGUAAGGACAUGUGGAGCGCUUAGAAGUGAGAAUGCCGGUGUGAGUAGCGAAAGACGGGUGAGAAUCCCGUCCACCGAUUGACUAAGGUUUCCAGAGGAAGGCUCGUCCGCUCUGGGUUAGUCGGGUCCUAAGCUGAGGCCGACAGGCGUAGGCGAUGGAUAACAGGUUGAUAUUCCUGUACCACCUAUAAUCGUUUUAAUCGAUGGGGGGACGCAGUAGGAUAGGCGAAGCGUGCGAUUGGAUUGCACGUCUAAGCAGUAAGGCUGAGUAUUAGGCA
rnacentral:rRNA from 1 species